UACAGAGGUGGCAAGCGUUGUUCGGAAUUACUGGGCGUAAAGGGCGCGUAGGCGGCCCGCUAAGUCGAACGUGAAAUCCCCGAGCUCAACUCGGGAACUGCGUCCGAUACUGGUGGGCUUGAAUCCGGGAGAGGGAUGCGGAAUUCCAGGUGUAGCGGUGAAAUGCGUAGAUAUCUGGAGGAACACCGGUGGCGAAGGCGGCAUCCUGGACCGGUAUUGACGCUGAGGCGCGAAAGCUAGGGGAGCAAACGGG
rnacentral:rRNA from 1 species